UAGGUUUAAGUACUUAGUUUUUAAUAAACUAUGUCUAAUAAUUAUUAUAUUUAUUUGGGAUGUUAAAGGUGAUAAAGGGAUUUAUCAAAAAUAUAGAUGAAAUAAAAAAAAACGAUGACAAUAAGAAAAUUUAAAAAACUUUCAGAGACAGACUUAUAUUAAAUUCCAGACCAUAGUGACAAUAAAUAUGUUGAAAAAAUAUAUUAGGAGAACAUUGUUUGCAACUCCCCAAUAUAUGGUGCUGUUGUAACUGGGUCAGUUACUGACAAAGAUGUGAAAGUAUGAGUUAAUUUUAUACAUCUAUAAAUUAUAUUUCAUUUUAUCUUAAAUUCAUAUUCGCGUGGCAUACUGAAGACAUGGAUUUAUACAAUCUUAACUAUGUGCAUGUUGGAUAUUCAAAGACAUGGUAUGCAACAACUCCAAAACAUAGGAAAAAAUUUGAAAAUUGAUUUGUGAGAUUUAUCCGGACACAUUAUCGAGUUUCCUGGCGUAUGUUCGUCACAAAACAAUUAUUUUAUCUCCUGCCAUUUUAAAAAAGAAUUCAAUACUAUUUAAUAAAAUCACACAAGAAGCAGGGGAAUUCAUGGUUACUUUCCCUUUGGGCUACCAUGCAGGCUUCAACCAGGGUCAUAACAUCGCUGAGGCAGCAAACUUUGCUAUAACACGUUUAGUUGAAUAUGGAAAAAAAAACGACAUAUUGCCGAAGCUUCGGAGAUCCUAUAAAUAUCAACAUGGAUAUAUUUGUACGACAUAUACAACCUGAUAAAUGCGAUGGUUCUGGAGAAAAGUGUCAAGACAAGAAAAAAAAUGUAACUUAAAUUGAGAAUGAUGAUGAUAGAAUUUUUAAAGUAGUACCUAUAUCGGAUACCAUAAUAUACUCCUGUUUCAGAUGUUUUGCUCCAAGCUGAAGAUGCUUAUAGCUAAUAUGUACAUUGUAUAUUUGGUAUAUUAAAGACAAAAAUG